UACGAAGGGGGCUAGCGUUGCUCGGAAUUACUGGGCGUAAAGGGCGCGUAGGCGGACAGUUUAGUCAGAGGUGAAAGCCCAGGGCUCAACCUUGGAAUUGCCUUUGAUACUGGCUGUCUUGAGUUCGGGAGAGGUGAGUGGAACUCCGAGUGUAGAGGUGAAAUUCGUAGAUAUUCGGAAAGAACACCAGUGGCGAAGGCGGCUCACUGGCCCGGUACUGACGCUGAUGUGCGAAAGCGUGGGGAGCAAACAGG
rnacentral:rRNA from 1 species